UCUAGCGACCUCCACCACGGUGGAUGCCUUGGCACUAGGAGCCGANNAUCUAGCGACNUCNACAAACGACGAUAUGCCUUGGGUAGCUGUAAGUAAGCGAUGAUCCAGGGAUUUCCGAAUGGGGGAACCCAACAGGUUNNUNCCUGUUACCCANNUCUGUUAAGGNNNUGAGGAGGAAGACGCAGUGAACUGAAACAUCUAAGUAGCUGCAGGAAGAGAAAGCAAAAGCGAUUGCCUUAGUAGCGGCGAGCGAAACGGCAGGAGGGCAAACCGAAGAGUUUACUCUUCGGGGUUGUAGGACUGCAAUGUGGACUCAAAGAUUAUAGAAGAAUGAUUUGGGAAGAUCAGCCAAAGAGAGUAAUAGCCUCGUAUUUAAAAUAGUCUUUGUACCUAGCAGUAUCCUGAGUACGGCGGGACACGUGAAAUCCCGUCGGAAUCUGGGAGGACCAUCUCCCAACCCUAAAUACUCCCUAGUGACCGAUAGUGAACCAGUACCGUGAGGGAAAGGUGAAAAGCACCCCGGGAGGGGAGUGAAAUAGAACCUGAAACCGUGUGCCUACAACAAGUUCGAGCCCGUUAAUGGGUGAGAGCGUGCCUUUUGUAGAAUGAACCGGCGAGUUACGUUAUGAUGCGAGGUUAAGUUGAAGAGACGGAGCCGUAGGGAAACCGAGUCUGAAUAGGGCGAAUUAGUAUCAUGACGUAGACCCGAAACCAUGUGACCUACCCAUGAGCAGGUUGAAGGUGCGGUAAGACGCACUGGAGGACCGAACCAGGGCACGUUAAAAAGUGCUUGGAUGACUUGUGGGUAGCGGAGAAAUUCCAAACGAACUUGGAGAUAGCUGGUUCUCUCCGAAAUAGCUUUAGGGCUAGCGUCGACAUUAGAGAUUCUUGGAGGUAGAGCACUGUUUGGGUGAGGGGUCCAUCCCGGAUUACCAAUCUCAGAUAAACUCCGAAUGCCAAUGAAUUAUGGUCGGCAGUCAGACUGCGAGUGCUAAGAUCCGUAGUCGAAAGGGAAACAGCCCAGACCACCAGCUAAGGUCCCAAAAUAAUUGUUAAGUGGAAAAGGAUGUGGGGUUGCACAGACAACUAGGAUGUUAGCUUAGAAGCAGCUAUUCAUUCAAAGAGUGCGUAAUAGCUCACUAGUCGAGUGACCCUGCGCCGAAAAUGUACCGGGGCUAAAACAAUUUACCGAAGCUGUGGAUACCUUUAUAGGUAUGGUAGGAGAGCGUUCUAUGUGUGANGAAGGUNUACCGUGAGGAGUGCUGGAACGCAUAGAAGUGAGAAUGCCGGUAUGAGUAGCGAAAGACAGGUGAGAAUCCUGUCCACCGUAAGACUAAGGUUUCCAGGGGAAGGCUCGUCCGCCCUGGGUUAGUCGGGACCUAAGGAGAGACCGAAAGGUGUAUCCGAUGGACAACAGGUUGAUAUUCCUGUACUAGAGUAUGUAGUGAUGGAGGGACGCAGUAGGCUAACUAAAGCAGACGAUUGGAAGUGUCUGUCUAAGCAGUGAGGUGUGANNUGAGUCAAAUGCUUANNUCUNUAACAUUGAGCUGUGAUGGGGAGCGAANUUUAGUAGCGAAGUUAGUGACGUCACACUGCCAAGAAAAGCUUCUAGCGUUUAAACAUACUCGNACCCGUACCUGCAAACCGACACAGGUNGNCUGAGGCGAGUAGCCUCAGGUGAGCGAGAGAACUCUCGUUAAGGAACUCGGCAAAAUGACCCCGUAACUUCGGGAGAAGGGGUGCUGACUUUAAGUCAGCCGCAGUGAAUAGGCCCAAGCAACUGUUUAUCAAAAACACAGCUCUCUGCUAAAUCGUAAGAUGAUGUAUAGGGGGUGACGCCUGCCCGGUGCUGGAAGGUUAAGAGGAGUGCUUAGCGUAAGCGAAGGUAUGAAUUGAAGCCCCAGUAAACGGCGGCCGUAACUAUAACGGUCCUAAGGUAGCGAAAUUCCUUGUCGGGUAAGUUCCGACCCGCACGAAAGGCGUAACGAUUUGGGCACUG
rnacentral:rRNA from 1 species